rnacentral:rRNA from 1 species
GUAAUAGCUCACUGGUCGAGUGAAGUUGCGCGGAAAAUUACCGGGGCUAAGUUAUCAACCGAAAUUGCGGAUUUGUAAUUUAUUACAAGUGGUAGAGGAGCAUUCUAUUGUAGGAUGAAGUCAGAGCGUGAGCACUGGUGGACGAGAUAGAAGAGAGAAUGCUGGAAUAAGUAGCGAGAGCAGGGUGAGAAUCCCUGCCGUCGAAAGUCUAAGGUUUCCUGGGGAAGGUUCGUCCGCCCAGGGUUAGUCAGGACCUAAGGAGAGGCCGAAAGGCGUAUCUGAUGGAUAGCAGGUUGAUAUUCCUGCACUAUAUAAUACUUAAAAGAUGCAACUGACGCAGAAGUGGAAGGUGAGCAAGGAAAUGGAAAAACUUGUUCCGCAAGGGGGAGUGAAAAUAAAGUAACGAAGCACCAAGAAGCACGCUGACGAGAAAAGGUUGUAGAUCUUGUAUUAUAUACUUGUACCGCAAACCGACACAGGUAGAUGAGGAGAGGAUCCUAAGACGAUCGGGAGAAGCAUUGUUAAGGAACUCGGCAAAUUGACCCCGUAACUUUGGAAGAAGGGGUACUGGUGUAACAGCCAGUCGCAGUGAAUAGUCCCAAGCAACUGUUUAACAAAAACAUAGGUUUCUGCUAAAUCGAAAGAUGAAGUAUAGGAGCUGACGCCUGCCCAGUGCUGGAAGGUUAAGGGAACGUGUUAAUAGUAAUAUGAAGCACCGAACUGAAGCCCCAGUGAACGGCGGCCGUAACUAUAACGGUCCUAAGGUAGCGAAAUUCCUUGUCAGGUAAGUUCUGACCCGCACGAAAGGCGUAAUGAUUUGGGAGCUGUCUCGACAAUGUCCCCGGCGAAAUUGUAGUACUAGUGAAGAUGCUAGUUACCUGCGACAAGACAGGAAGACCCCAUGGAGCUUUACUGCAGUUUGAUACUGAGUCAGGCUAAUUUAUGUACAGGAUAGUUAGGAGGCUGUGAGGCUUAAGCGCCAGCUUAAGAAGAGCCAACGUUGGGAUACUAACCUUAAAUUAGUUUGAAUCUAACUCGUGAUCGUAAUCCGGUCAGAGGACAAUGUCAGACGGGCAGUUUGACUGGGGCGGUCGCCUCCUAAAGAGUAACGGAGGCGUUCAAAGGUUCCCUCAGCGCGGACAGAAAUCGCGCAAUAGAGUGUAAAGGCAGAAGGGAGCUUAACUGGGAGACUUACAAGUCGAGCAGAUACGAAAGUAGGACUUAGUGAUCCGGUGGAUUAUGAAUGGAAAUGCCAUCGCUCAACGGACAAAAGUUACCCUGGGGAUAACAGGCUUAUCUCCCCCAAGAGUUCACAUCGACGGGGAGGUUUGGCACCUCGAUGUCGGCUCAUCGCAUCCUGGGGCUGGAGCAGGUCCCAAGGGUUGGGCUGUUCGCCCAUUAAAGCGGUACGCGAGCUGGGUUCAGAACGUCGUGAGACAGUUCGGUCCUUAUCUGUCGCAGGCGCAGGAUAUUUGAGGAGAUCUGCCCCUAGUACGAGAGGACCAGGGUGGACGAACAGAUGGUGCAACAGUUGUUCUACCAAGAGCAUAGCUGUGUAGCCAAGUUCGGAAUGGAUAAACGCUGAGAGCAUCUAAGUGUGAAGCCAACUCCAAGAUAAGAUAUCCCAUACCGUUAAGGUAGUAAGAUUCCAUGAAGACUACGUGGUUGAUAGGUUGGGGGUGUAAGUGAAGCGAUUCACUGAGCUGACCAAUACUAAUAAAUCGAGGGCUUAACCA